rnacentral:tRNA from 1 species
GGCAGCGUGGCGUAGUUGGUUAACGCGUAGGCGUACAUUGGCUGAAGUCGUUGGUUCGAGUCCAGCCGGUACCC